GCCGCCGCCACCGGGGUGGUCCCCGGGCCGGACUUCAGAUCCGGCGCGCCCCGAGUGGGGCGCGGGGUUCAAUUCCCCGCGGCGGCC
rnacentral:tRNA from 21 species